AAGUAGACGACCUGGGUGGAAGGAAUGGCUGCCACGAAGGAGGCGUCCGCUGCACGGGAAGGGCAGAUAAGCUAAGAGAUGGAGCACCUAGGUGUCCUGGUUUCCCCUUUGGGAAAACCUUGACUCUGAAGACCAGGAGGGAAGAUCCCACAUGCAGCAGCUAAGCCUGUGGGCUGCAGCUAUUGAACCUGUGCCCCAGAGCCAGAGAGAUCCACAACCACUGCGAGCCCGUGUGCUGCAACUGCUGAAGCCUGUCUGCUCUAGAGCCUGUGCUUCCCAACAAGAGAAGCCACGUCAAGGAGAAAAGCCCAUGCACUGCACGCAACUGGAGAGUAGCCCCUCGCUCGCCACAACCAGAGGAAAAAAACCUGCGCAACUACAAAGACCCAGCACAACCAAAAUUUUUUAAAAAUUAAACAGUUUUUUUUAAAAGA